CAGUCGCCGCGGUAAUACGUAGGGUGCGAGCGUUAAUCGGAAUUACUGGGCGUAAAGCGUGCGCAGGCGGUUCGUUAAGACAGAUGUGAAAUCCCCGGGCUUAACCUGGGAACUGCAUUUGUGACUGGCGAGCUAGAGUAUGGCAGAGGGGGGUAGAAUUCCACGUGUAGCAGUGAAAUGCGUAGAGAUGUGGAGGAAUACCGAUGGCGAAGGCAGCCCCCUGGGCCAAUACUGACGCUCGUGCACGAAAGCGUGGGGAGCAAACAGGAUUAGAUACCCCCGUAGUCCCUGUCUCUUAUAC
rnacentral:rRNA from 1 species